GCAGUCGAGGAUCAUUCGCAAUGCGCGAAAGCGUGACGGUGCGACGCCGCGUGCAGGAUGAAGGCCUUCGGGUCGUAAACUGCUGUCAUGAGGGAACAAUAUCCGGGUUGUGAAUAUCAUCUCGGGGUGAUAGUACCUCAAGAGGAAGCCACGGCUAACUCUGUGCCAGCAGCCGCGGUAAUACAGAGGCGGCGAGCGUUGUUCGGAUUUACUGGGCGUAAAGGGUGCGUAGGCGGUUCUGUGUGUCGGACGUGAAAUCUCACAGCUCAACUGUGGAAUUGCAUUUGAAACUACAGGGCUGGAGUACAGGAGAGGAGAGCGGAAUUCUCGGUGUAGCGGUGAAAUGCGUAGAUAUCGAGAGGAACACCGGUGGCGAAGGCGGCUCUCUGGACUGAUACUGACGCUGAGGCACGAAAGCUGGGGGAGCAAACAGGAUUAGAUACCCUGGUAGUCCCAGCCCUAAACGGUGUGCACUUGGUGUGGGGAGGAUUGUCCCUUCCUGUGCCGGAGCUAACGCGUUAAGUGCACCGCCUGGGGAGUACGGUCGCAAGAUUAAAACUCAAAGGAAUUGACGG
rnacentral:rRNA from 1 species